AAUAAAUAGAUAGAUAAUUAGAUAUAUAUUAUAAUAUUAUCUUUAAAAUGUCCUCUAACAUGUUUAAAUACCAUCGAGCUAUAUAUACAUUCUAGUUGUCAACUGUUCAACAUUUGGUCCCUAAACUAUUAGACUAUACAUUAAAGUCUGGUUGAUAUAAGUAUAUAUUUAGGGUCAAGCCCUAUGAACUCAGGGCCUGGGCAGUCGCCUCUCUGCCCCACCCUCAGGGCCGCCACUACAGCGAAGCGAUGAAGCCAGGCCUCCCGCCCGUGUCCUCGCGUGUCGUUGUGGGUGUAUCCGCCUAUUCGAGUUGUUUGUUUGCCAUGUGAUCGUGUCGCGCCGGCGGCGCCGCUAGACCUAAGUAUGGCCACAUGACUCGACUAACCUAACCCUACUCAUCUAGGGGAAAAAACCCGACCAAUACGACGGACUAACACGGGUUGGGUAUAGGCCAUGAUUUUUUACCUCAAAUGUAGCACCUAAAAUCUUAUUUGGGAUUUAUAAAAGUUUAUACAAAGGAUUAAAAACAUAAUAAUUAAAAGCCCUUCAAUCUAAUUGCCAAAGUGAAGCAAUUUCUCUCAUGAACUAUGAAAUUAGAAAUGCUUUAAAAACAAUUAAAGUAAAGUAACUCUUGUUUAUAUAUUAGCCUCUACUAAAGAAAAUGAGUAAUAAAUAUUGAAUAUUUAAAUGGGUUUCUAAUUAGAGUAGUGAUGUUUGAAAUCUCUACUACACCUUAAGAACGCAGUGAGGGCGUCCACAGAGCAUACCGUGCCCCCGCCCUCCGCCAAUCUCGCAGCUGUCACCAGCGCCCGCCCCAUCCAUGGCGCCCAACGUAUUCAACACCGGAUCCCCCGCCAAUCUCGCAGCCGUCACCAGCCCCGUCCCCGCAGCCGUCACCAACGCCCGCCCCAUCCAUGCCGCCCAACGAAUUCAACCCCAGAUCCCUCGGUAUGGUGCCGGAGACCGCGCCCUUCCCACCUUCCCCACCGGAUCCGGCAUGGCAGAUCCAUGGCGCCCACCGGAUCCCUCUCCCUUGCCCUCUUCAAUACCGGAUUGACCGCGCCAUUCACCACCGCUCUCACCUACUAUCGAUGGCCCGUCCGCCAUUAUCGAUGGCCCGCCCGCCUCGCUGGCUCCCCUCUCCCUCCUCUCUCGCUCCACCCCUCCCAACUGCCCCUAGCCUAACUCGGGCCACAGAGCGGCCGCCCCCUUCACCGGAGAGGUGGCAUCCCACGUCGGACGCAGAGGUGCACCUGCGUCGGCGCCACGACACUUGACCCAGGUGAGGUCGCUGUCGAUGCCACCAUGUCUUCUUCAUCUAUCUACUAGCCUCAUCUCGCCGGCGACGAGAUCCACCGCACCGCCUUCCUUCCCGUAUUCCCUCGCCGUCCCAUUCUAUAAGGAUCUCCGCCGUCAUCCCGGGAUAGUUCUCCGAGAUCAGCCCCAUGUGGCCCGGUGCGCCCCGCUGCUCUGCUUGUGGGCGUCCACAUUUGCUUCACCGUGCCCCGCCAGCCGUAGCUCCAUGCGCAAGGAGAGGAACAUGGGGACCUGAUCCUGGACGAUCGCAGGGACAGCAUGGAGCUGUCGAUUGUUGGAUCGGAUAGCAGGGUCUUGGGCGCCACCGUGGCGCACGAGCUUAGAGCGUGUGCAUCCAACAGCAGGUGAGCGGCGGCGUGCACGGUAAGCCGCAGGGCAGCACGGGCCAUGAGCACGAAAUCUGCCUCCACGGUUUCGUGCCUGACUAGGUGGGGAUUGGCUGCAUAGAAGAAACACACAUCAGAUCAAUAUAUGCUUAACGAGUGCUUGAUUAAAUGCUGGAACAAAACAUCGUGUCCUAGGUGACAAUGGUCUCUAAGUAAGGCGAGAAUGGCCACCCAUGGGAAUCACUGGAUCUGUUUGCGCUCGUCAUCUGGUCCAGCACUAGGUCUUGAGCAUGAGUAGGGUAGGAGCUCCAGGAGCAGUUCUUCCCCUUCUCACAGAAUCGCCCUCCCUGAGGGACUUGAGCAACAACUACUUGCACGAUUCAAUUCUUUACCAGCUGCCAUCAAACCUUACCUAUCUGAACCUGGCGAAAAACAACUUCUCUGGUAAUCUUCCGUACUCCAUAUCCAAUUUGGUCUCGCUUGAGUACCUGUAAGUUACUAUUCCAUUGGUAAAGAUGAGAUUUGUUCAGUGAUGAUAUUUUUGGUUAGCACAAUCUAACUGCAGUGAACCACUGCCUGCAACAACCUUAGCCACAACUCGUUGUUACAGGAAAUUGGAGAACUGUUUGGAAGCCUCAGUUCACUCGCAGAACUGUAAGGCAUACUGAACCGCUGUUUUCGUACGCAAGCUCGACUUGAGUAUUGUGUGGUUGAAAUUUUUGAUCCUGUACAAACUAUUUCAGUAUUGAAUGUUUUCUUCAUUAAAAAAUAAGUGUAAUUUUGAGCACAGAUAUAAUAUUCAAAAUAUAACAUUGCCACCAAAUAAAAAUGCAACAUACUUUAUCUGGCCACAAAGUUAAGCCCUUCUACGUCUGUCCUAAGUCAAAAAAAAAGUUAACUCUAACUAACAAUAUAUUAUCUGAGAUUAAAAUUUAUUAUAUUAUAAAAUUAGUUUGUUUGCAGAUACAACUUUUUUUAGGAAAAUGUUUUUUUUAAAAAUGCAUUCACAAUCACUUGAUCUGUCCAAGUGAGGAUGAUGAUAUUGUCAGUAUGAUGAUUAACUGCUCUUAACCCUAUGAAUUUCAUCGUAUUAUAACUACAAUCCUUGGAGAGACAUAUCUUUCAACAACCUCACGGGAAUCUUCCUUUCUCAAUGGGCUCUCUAUCAAAACUUUCUAGCCUGUAAGUAUUAUUCAGAUGCUCCCCAUAUAUUUGUAUUUCUUUCUCGUGGCUCUGAUAGUUUCCUUCUUGUGCCUGUUAGCCUUGCAACACUGUAAGUAGCUUCCCACACACACACACCUUGGUUCGCGCUCGCACCGAAAACAAUUUUGAGCUAAUAUUAUUGGUGACUCUGCAUUCCACUCAACUUCCGCACGGUGCUUCUAAUUAAAUGAAGUUAACCAAUUGCAGAAUGGAACUGAUUCUGCAUUCCAGGCUGUUGACAAUAAACCAUCCCAAACAUGCUACCUAAUGGCUCUAGAUCAUGCUACAAACAAUUAUGGAACAAGUUGUCGCAUCUUUUUCCCUUUCUUUAUAAUAACAAUUAGAUUGAAUUUGCUUAAAAUUUCCCCUGUCCCAUUGUAAUUUCUGAAACUUAGAUUGAAUUUGCAUCUUUUCCCUUUCUUUGUUCAUUUAAUCAUUGUGUACUAACAUUUUGUCAAAUAGUUCAUGUUCAUUUAAACUUUUCUUCUAUUAGACUGAUAGUAUUUCACAUACUAUACUAAAUGAGUGUGAGUCCACUGUUCUGUUCUUUAACCUCUCUCUAGGAAGAAUCCAUGGUCUGUAUUGUUUUACUGAAAAGGGGAUGUGCUAACUUGUUGAGAUUACACAUGGCAUUUACAUUUGUAUAUGUUUUGUCCAUUUCCAUUUCUUAAAUAAAAUAUCCUUUGCAGAUUUUUAUCACAGUUUACUUCUUCAAAGCAACCUUGGAUGAAAAUUUCAGUUUAGCUGAUAUUGAGGUAGCUCUGAUCCCAAUCUUGGCAGGGUCAUGUGAAUACGUUAGUGCCUUAGUGGAGAUUAUUUGAUACGACCUUCAAAGUUCAAACAUUUCUUACAAUAAUAAUUGAUAUCUGUUACUCAGAACCACAUUCGAACCUUGUAUAUGACUUAAAGGUUUUUAAUAAAACUAGACUCCACUCCACUAGGCUUUCUGUGCGCUCCUGGACAAGCAAUUGCAGUUUGGAAGGAUAAGCAAUUGUGGUCUCAUGUGUUGUACUGUUUCUUAGAAUUUUCCAGCAACUUCGAUUGGGAGGAAUUUUGUUUGAGCUUGUGGGCCCAAUUCAUAUCAGUUCCCUUACAGAUAUGACAGGUGUACACAUCUGACUUAACAUCACUAUUUCUUAUGGACCUGUCUAAGGUGCAAAGGCCACACAAAGGGAUUUGGGGGUGAUACAUAGAGAUCAUAGUACAUGUGGAGAAGGCAUUUGCUGGACCCUCGAUCCAUUUCUCCUUGUUUUGACAAUGCUGUUAUGACAAAAUUUACACUGCAUUACCAGGAGCUGGGCCAACAUUUACCAUCCUAAUCAAUUGUAGAUUCUUAGCAAUUCUUGACAUCAUUGUAAUAAUUGUAUUAUGCUGUAAAUUUUUUAAUGAAAUAACAUCACUGAAAUGACAUUUGCGUUGAUAAUUGCAUGUGGGUAAA